ACCAACAAAAGUAGCCCGAAGAUUGGCGGAAUCUGCUUUGUUGCAAUGCCCUUUUUACCCUUGUUGUUAACGAACUCUGAGAGAACGCCUGCCCGAGUGCCCAACCAGACAGAACAAAACAGAACUACUUAUAAAGAAGAGCAAGUCACAAGACAGCAACCAGUCAAACACAACACCGAUCUUUGUCUCCCUGUCCUUUCUCCGUCCUUCUUACACUCUUUUCACGUCGAUCAUCUCACCACCGCCAUGUUAUACGGUGUCGCCAAGGUCAAAAACGAUGAACCUGGCCGUCUAAUCUCCAUAUACAGUGAACUCCAAAUUAGGAGACUAAAUGUCCCUCUAUCUCUCCCGUCUGUUCUCAAAAACUCUUUCCACAUUGUCGACGGUCCUCCUAGCUCCGCCGCCGGCAACCCUGAGGAGAUAGCGAAGUUGUUUCCAAACUUGUUUGGACAGCCAUCAGCAAAGCUGAUCAAAGUUGAUCCUAAUAAGGGGAGCGGCCUGGAGAGCAAGAGUUUGACCAUUGGAGUUGUAUUUUCAGGAGGGCAGGCUCCUGGUGGCCACAAUGUUAUAUGUGGGAUUUUUGAUUAUUUGCAGGAACGGGCCAAUGGAAGCAAGCUUUACGGGUUUAAGGGUGGCCCUGCAGGGAUCAUGAAGUGCAAAUAUGUUGAGCUGUCUGUUGAUUUUAUUUACCCAUAUAGAAACCAGGGUGGCUUUGAUAUGAUUUGUAGCGGCAGAGACAAAAUUGAAACCCCAGAACAGCUUAAGCAAACUGAGGAAACGGUAGUGAAGCUUGAUUUGGAUGGACUAGUUGUCAUUGGUGGGGAUGACUCAAACACGAACGCCUGUCUCCUUGCUGAAAACUUUAGGAGUAAAAAGAUGAAGACAAGGGUCAUUGGAUGCCCAAAGACCAUUGAUGGUGAUUUAAAAUGCAAAGAAGUUCCCACAAGUUUUGGAUUUGACACUGCAUGCAAGAUAUAUGCAGAACUUAUUGGAAAUGUGAUGAUAGAUGCUCGUUCUACUGGAAAAUACUAUCACUUUGUGAGGCUUAUGGGUCGCGCAGCUUCUCAUAUAACAUUGGAGUGUGCUUUGCAAACUCAUCCAAAUAUUGCGAUUAUUGGGGAAGAGGUUGCUGCCAAGAAGCAAACACUGAAGAAUGUUACAGAUUAUAUAACUGAUGUGAUCUGUAAACGUGCAGAACUUGGUUAUAAUUAUGGCAUUAUACUUAUACCUGAAGGCCUGAUUGAUUUCAUCCCUGAGGUACAACAACUUAUCGCAGAGCUGAAUGAAAUCUUAGCACAAGACGCUGUUGAUGAAGCUGGGAUGUGGAAAAUGAAACUUCAAAGUCAAUCACGGGAGCUAUUUGAGUUGCUACCUAAAGCUAUUCAGAAGCAACUAAUGCUUGAAAGAGAUCCACACGGGAAUGUGCAGGUUGCCAAAAUAGAAACAGAAAAAAUGCUAAUCGAAAUGGUGGAAACUGAAUUGGAUAAAAGGAAGCAGGAUGGUACAUAUAAAGGAGAGUUCCAAGGACGAUCUCACUUCUUUGGUUAUGAAGGUAGAUGUGGCUUCCCAACAAACUUUGAUGCCAAUUACUGCUAUGCAUUGGGUUAUGCUGCUGCAGCCCUCCUCCAUUCCGGGAAGACUGGAUUGAUUUCAUCGGUGGGAAAUCUGGGUGCUCCAGUUGAAGAAUGGACGGUUGGAGGAACAGCAUUGACUUCCUUAAUGGAUGUAGAGAGGAGACGUGGGAAGUUCAAGCCUGUGAUUAAGAAGGCAAUGGUGGAACUGGAAGAAUACCCCUUGAGGAGUGCCUGCCUGGGCUGCUGCAAUCAGAACAUGACGAUGUUCCACGCACCCAACGCUCCUCCUGGACAGGACAGCCAAUAAAUUUAUUGUUUUGUUGCAUUGUCAAUGUAUCAGGAGCACCAUUCAAGAAAUUUGCUUCUUUGCGAGAUGGCUGGACCCUCAAGAAUCGAUAUAUCAGUCCAGGUCCAAUUCAAUUUGUUGGGUCGACAGCAAAUGAUCUCAAUCACACUCUACGACUGGAACUUGGACUUGAAGAACGAGCGUAGCAUACAGGUUUUGGUUGAUAUUCAUUAGCAACACAUCCCAGCGCUCAUAAUUAUCAAGGAAUAAAUCAAAUAUGUCACUCCAUUUAUUAUUGGACACAGAGAGAUAAUUUUACAAGAAGGUAAUAUUUUAUCAGGGAUGGUUCAUCAGACAAAUUUCUAUAAUGCUAAAUAUAUUUAGAUCAAUGGUAUAGAUUCUCCAAGUAAUAUUUUUAAGUUAUUAAUAAAAAGUCCUUUUAUAUUGUUUCAAAA